UAAUAUGUUUAUUGUUAAUUUUCUAUUUAAUUAAAAAUAUUUGAAAAUUGUUUAUACAAACUUUUGAAUUUUUUUAAAUUUGAGUUUUGCGUGGUUUCUAUUGAGAGUGUGUGCUGGCGCUUAACUGACAGUCCACUUUGUUUAUGAAUCACACAAACAAGUUUUGGAAGCUGAAAGUGGUUCGGAAGAACUCGGUUGUGGCCAAGCAGUGAAGCAGCGGUCAUGUGAAACUAUGGCCAUGAUGGCAAAAACGUUAUCGUUCCUUUUGCUCCCCACCAAGAAUGGACUUACUUACUUGAUGGGCUACAGCUCUUCUAUAAACCUACGCCGAAUGGAGUAUCCUUCUCUACUGGACUCGAUCAUGGGCCAAUCGCUUCCAGUCGCCCUGAACAUUGAGUGCCCUCAGGUCCUCUUGAACCACAAAAAGCCAUAGUGUACACGGCCUUCCACGAAGCCUGCGGCCUCUUUCGGGUUCUCUAAUAAAUAUUAUCUUCGCUUGACGUUCUUCCGGCAUAUGAACAACGUGACCAAAAAUGGACUACAGAAAUUACGCCGAGCCAUCGGAUUACGGAAGCCGCGCCACAAUACGGACUGUUCCAGUUAAGGCUCUCCCAUAUCUAAUUGGUCAUCACGAUGGCGACAACUAGCCGCCGCGAUUCUAUCGCUGGGUCGCUGUUCCAUUUACGCUACGAUACCAACGGCGGCGGCAUAAUCGCGGUCGUCAACCAAACUUUUGCUAUUGCGCUGUGCUAUGAACUGUCGUUGGCCUGUUCCAUCAUGUACCUAUAUUCAACUGAAGACUCCAAGGGACAUCCGCCCAUUCGAACGGACUAUAUUUGCUACGGUGAGAUAAGAUUUUUGACUUUAAAUAUUUUGUUUCUCAUACAUCCAUAUUGCAUGACCCUCUUGUCCCGAAUAAUCGGUAUUUGCCCAAGUUCUUCCAGAGCAUUCGGUGAGAAGCUGACAAUGAAGAAUUGACGAUGGUAGAUGUUCAACUUCGUUUUCGACAAAGAUGAUUCAAGCAAUGGAAAUAUACCUGUGUGCGUAAAUGGAAUCCAUCCCACAAUCUACAAAUUAGUACGCAGACUUCAAAACGACCAUUUUUGUGCAGAAAAUCGUUUAAGAUUUUACAGUAAAAUGUCUUCACUGUCAUAAGACGAUUUUGAACAAUUCCUUUUAAUUCCACCACUUUAUAAUUUUUAUAGAAAAGUAUUUUGACUUUAACUGUAAAGCCGUCUAGUGUCUCGUACUUGACUCGUUAUUUGUGUGCUAAUUUCAACUAAAUAUUAAUCUGUUUUUUUUUUCAAUUUUCAAAUUUAUUUUAUUUCAUUAUAAUUUAUAUUAUAUCAAAAUAAAAUUUUAAAAAAUAAA